rnacentral:lncRNA from 1 species
UUUUGAUAAGGAUGAUAUUGGCCAACUAGUCAAGUUAGUUCACCUCACAGAUGAAGUCUGUUGCAAGGAGCUUGUCCACCUGCUUAUUGAUGGCUUAUUAUCACUCUGGGGUAAAGCUUUGCUUCUUUUACUGCACAAAUCGAUGCAGGGGGUUCACAUGUAGUUGCUAGAAUAUAAAAACCUCCAAACUAAUGCCUAGCAUAUCCAAGGCUAACCAAGCGAAGGCUUCGGAGUUGGUCUGAAGGAAGCUGAGAAGCUGGGCUUGAGAGGCUUUAUCCUGUCAAGCUCCAAUUUGUACCAUUCUACUCAGAUCUGACUCAUGCAGGG